CAGUCGCCACGGUAAUACAGAGAGUGCAAGCGUUAAUCGGAAUUACUGGGCGUAAAGCGCGCGUAGGUGGUUUGUUAAGUCGAAUGUGAAAUCCCCGGGCUCAACCUGGGAACUGCAUCCGAAACUGGCAGGCUAGAGUAGGGCAGAGGGUGGUGGAAUUUCCUGUGUAGCGGUGAAAUGCGUAGAUAUAGGAAGGAACACCAGUGGCGAAGGCGACCACCUGGGCUCAUACUGACACUGAGGUGCGAAAGCGUGGGGAGCAAACAGGAUUAGAUACCCCUGUAGUCCCUGUCUCUUAUAC
rnacentral:rRNA from 1 species